AGCUUUGCACAGUGGCAGUAUCCUAGCCAAUGAGGUUUAUCCGAGGCGCGAUUAUUGCUAAUUGAAAAGGACUACGGUAAGGAUUCUUGUGGUGAUGGACAUGUUCUAUUGCAAAAUUAAAAGUUUAUUUUCAAA